rnacentral:rRNA from 1 species
GGUGAGUAACACGUAUCUAAUCUACCCAUUAGCGGGGGAUAACAGUUGGAAACGACUGCUAAUACCGCAUACGACAUUUUCUGGCAUCAGAGAAUGUUAAAAGGUCCGUUUGGACCACUAAUGGAUGAGGGUGCGGCGUAUUAGUUAGUUGGUGGGGUAAUGGCCUACCAAGACAAUGAUACGUAGCCGAACUGAGAGGUUGAACGGCCACAUCGGGACUGAGACACGGCCUGAACUCCUACGGGAGGCAGCAGUAGGGAAUUUUUCACAAUGGGCGAAAGCCUGAUGGAGCAAUGCCGCGUGACUGAAGACGGUCUUCGGAUUGUAAAGGUCUGUUGUAAGGGAAGAACAGUAAGUAUAGGAAAUGAUACUUAUUUGACGGUACCUUACC